rnacentral:rRNA from 1 species
UAGGGAAUCUUCGGCAAUGGACGGAAGUCUGACCGAGCAACGCCGCGUGAGUGAAGAAGGUUUUCGGAUCGUAAGGCUCUGUUGUAAGAGAAGAACGAGUGUGAGAGUGGAGAGUUCACACUGUGACGGUAUCUUACCAGAAAGGGACGGCUAACUACGUGCCAGCAGCCGCGGUAAUACGUAGGUCCCGAGCGUUGUCCGGAUUUAUUGGGCGUAAAGCGAGCGCAGGCGGUUAGAUAAGUCUGAAGUUAAAGGCUGUGGCUUAACCAUAGUAGGCUUUGGAAACUGUUUAACUUGAGUGCAAGAGGGGAGAGUGGAAUUCCAUGUGUAGCGGUGAAAUGCGUAGAUAUAUGGAGGAACACCGGUGGCGAAAGCGGCUCUCUGGCUUGUAACUGACGCUGAGGCUCGAAAGCGUGGGGAGCAAACAGGAUUAGAUACCCUGGCAGUCCACGCUGUAAACGAUGAGUGCUAGGUGUUAGACCCUUUCCGGGGUUUAGUGCCGUAGCUAACGCAUUAAGCACUCCGCCUGGGGAGUACGACCGCAAGGUUG